AACCCUACUACCCUCUACCGGAACUUCCAUCAACGAUGGUUUGCAGGCGGCCGCGGCGACCAUCCAUACGUUCAACGUCACCGACAGCGACGACGUUGUCACGUGCUCCACACGAGCGCCGGAAUCCACCUUUUUUGAAUUGGUAGCCGCAACUAGCCCUGCGUUCAGUAUCCGCGUGAAAGCAGGAGUGACGUUGGCUGCAGCUGUCAGUCCGUACGUCAUGAACAUUGAUUGCACAGAUGCCGUAACCGCCGUCAGUUCAACGUUUACCCAGCCAGUCCUUGAUAAGCCGCCGACAUUUGUAUCUGGGAUUCCUGGGAAUUCCCCUGACGUCUCAGACGACAACGUGAUUGCGACGUCACUGGGAAAGUUCACAACUACGGACCCUGAUACCACGUGUUCUGUGACGUUACCUGUGACAACCGUUUAUGAGAUCAGAAAAGUGGCGUCACCGACCGAUCCCCAGAAACCGGCCGCCGGUUUUCACCGCACUGCCUGCGACCGGAACUAACAUUUUCGACGGUCUUAAGCACGCCACCGAGACCCUUCACACGUUCAGCGUCACCGAUAGCGACGACGCCGUUAACUGCUCUGCAAGAGUGACGGAAAACGCCCUUUUUGAAGUGAUUGCCGGUGUCGCAUCAAGGUUUACAAUUAACGUAAAGGCGGGGGUAACGCUAAGAGCAGCGAACGGACCUUACGUCAUCAACGUCGACUGCUCAGAUGGCGACAAUGACGUCACUGCGACGUUCACAAAACCAGUGAUUGAUACGCCGCCGAGUUUUGUAUCCGGGAUCCCCGGAAGUUCCCCUAACGUCUCUGACUCCACUGUCACACAGAUGUUACUCGGGAAGUUUACAACUACCGACCCGGAUACGGCGUGUUCUGUGACGUCACCAUCCACCACCGUGUAUGAGAUCAGAAAUGUGACGUCACCGGUGAAUGUUUCUCAACCAGAAUUUGAAGUCAGGAUCUCUAGCACCGUGACUGAAGCUGCCAUCGACUUCAACGACCAGGCCGUGCCGUUGACGUUAACGAUACGGUGUACUGACGGCAACACCGUCAACGUCAUCACCGGGACUUUCAACGUCAAUAUCGUUGAUGAGGACCCAGUUCUAACGUCGUUUCCUAUGACGUCAUAUCAGUUCCUAGAAGACAUUUCCGUUUCCGCUCUGGAGCUAAACUCAUUCAGCCUUAAAGAUUCUGAUGACGUCAUAUCUGCUUGAUGUCAUCUGUCAAAUCUGAAAAUCAACGUCAAAGCGUUUCAGAUUUGGUACAAGGGACGCCCGCGAGCGUCCUUGAACUAUGACGUCACGCCCGUUCAUAACAUCGGGAUUAUUUGCGACGACGGUGAAGUCUUUAGCGCGAGAUAUUAUUACGCAGUGGAUCUGGAAAACAACCCUCCGGUGUUUGUUAACCUUCCUGCGGUUACUUUACGUCAAUAGCGGAGUCAGUGACGUCUAAAAGAUUGCUAUAUUCUCUCACAGUAUCGGACCUAGGCGG